UACAGAGGUCUCAAGCGUUGUUCGGAUUCAUUGGGCGUAAAGGGUGCGUAGGCGGCGCGGUAAGUCGGGGUGUGAAAUCUCGGAGCUUAACUCCGAAACUGCAUUCGAUACUGCCGUGCUUUGAGGACUGGAGAGGAGACUGGAAUUUACGGUGUAGCGGUGAAAUGCGUAGAUAUCGUAAGGAAGACCAGUGGCGAAGGCGGGUCUCUGGACAGUUCCUGACGCUGAGGCACGAAGGUCAGGGGGAGCAAAACGGGG
rnacentral:rRNA from 1 species